rnacentral:tRNA from 1 species
UCCGUGGUGGUCCAGUUGGUAUAAGACUCUGCCCUCGAAAUGCAGGGGGCCUGGGUUUGAUCCCUGGUCAGGGAA